UUCUAAACAGAAGAUAACCACAACAUACUAAACAAAGGAGACAGAGAGCUUCUUAGUCCACCAC
rnacentral:sRNA from 1 species